rfam:Triticum aestivum genome assembly, contig: Triticum_aestivum_CS42_TGACv1_scaffold_404821_5BL
CUAAUACUCCCUCCGUCCGGAAAUAUUUGUCGAAGAAAUGCAUAAAAAUGGAUAUAUCUAGCUAAAAUACGUCUAGAUGCAUCCAUUCCUCCGACAAGUAUUUCCGGACAGAGGGAGUACGUU